UGGAGCAACGCCGCGUGCAGGAUGAAGGUCUUCGGAUUGUAAACUGCUUUUAUGAGUGACGAUUAUGACGGUAACUCAUGAAUAAGGAUCGGCUAAUUCCGUGCCAGCAGCCGCGGUCAUACGGAAGAUCCGAGCGUUAUCCGGAAUUACUGGGCGUAAAGAGAUGCGUAGGUGGUAUGUUAAGCGAAUAGUGAAAUCUUCUGGCUCAACCAGGAGACUGUUAUUCGAACUGACACACUAGAGUACGAGAGAGGAAGCUGGAAUUCCUGGUGUAGGAGUGAAAUCCGUAGAUAUCAGGAGGAACACCAAUGGCGAAGGCAGGCUUCUGGCUCGUUACUGACACUGAGGCUCGAAAGCGUGGGGAGCGAACGGGAUUAGAUACCCCGGUAGUCCACGCCGUAAACGAUGAAUGCUAGCUGUUCGAGGUAUCGACCCCUGGAGUAGCGAAGCUAACGCGUUAAGCAUUCCGCCUGGGGAGUACGGUCGCAAGACUAAAACUCAAAGGAAUUGACGGGGACCCGCACAAGCGGUGGAGCGUGUGGUUUAAUUCGAUGAUAAGCGUAGAACCUUACCAAGGUUUGACAUCCCGAGAAGGACUUCGAAAGAAGACUGUGCCUUUUGGAACUCGGUGACAGGUGAUGCAUGGCCGUCGUCAGCUCGUGUCGUGAGAUGUUGGGUUAAGUCCCGCAACGAGCGCAACCCUUAUGGUUAGUUGGAUUU
rnacentral:rRNA from 1 species